GUCAUUCUGAAAAACUCACGAGUACCUGUUGUCAGGACAUGUCCAGGACGGCAGGGUUGUUGUCAAUUUAUGUGACCUUGUGAAGCCUUGGAACAAACUCUCCCGAGUUCAAAAGGUGUCCCUCAGCAUGUAUCAGAGAGGCUGUGUCUGUGAGAUCUCACCUUGUACUGGAGCAUCCUGUUUGAUUGAGAUUCUUCA